rnacentral:rRNA from 1 species
GAGUGAACGCUGGCGGUAGGCCUAACACAUGCAAGUCGAACGGCAGCACAGUAAGAGCUUGCUCUUACGGGUGGCGAGUGGCGGACGGGUGAGGAAUACAUCGGAAUCUACUUUUUCGUGGGGGAUAACGUAGGGAAACUUACGCUAAUACCGCAUACGACCUACGGGUGAAAGCAGGGGAUCUUCGGACCUUGCGCGAUUGAAUGAGCCGAUGUCGGAUUAGCCAGUUGGCGGGGUAAAGGCCCACCAAGGCGACGAUCCGUAGCUGGUCUGAGAGGAUGAUCAGCCACACUGGAACUGAGACACGGUCCAGACUCCUACGGGAGGCAGCAGUGGGGAAUAUUGGACAAUGGGCGCAAGCCUGAUCCAGCCAUACCGCGUGGGUGAAGAAGGCCUUCGGGUUGUAAAGCCCUUUUGUUGGGAAAGAAAAGCAGCAGGUUAAUACCCCGCUGUUCUGACGGUACCCAAAGAAUAAGCACCGGCUAACUUCGUG